GAAGGUCAGAGACAGUUUAUUCUUUUAGUCAGCAUUGUUCAUUUUUAAGCAAAAACAAAGGGAGCUAAAAAGACAAACUUUUCUUUCAGACGAAGGCUGAUUCUGAUGGAGGAAGUGGUGAUGACCAGGAUGGCAACAAUAAGAAAAAGGACAAGAAAUUCAGAAUGUCUCUACUCUCCAGAAGAGGGUCCAAGAACAAGAUUCCUGACGACACAAAGGAGGGGAAGGGCAGGACGCUCCCCAUCCCACGUAAAUCAUCAAAGGACUAUUUGUCAGAUGUGCACAUGUCAGAGGACGAAGAGCGGAAUUCACUGGACUACAAAGUAUUUAUUUAUUUUUAAAGCGG